AUUUCUUUAGUAUAGUAGUACAAAUGCCUUCCAAGCAUUUAGCCCCUAAGGGAAGAAAUA
rnacentral:tRNA from 1 species